rnacentral:rRNA from 1 species
UACGGAGGGAGCUAGCGUUGUUCGGAAUUACUGGGCGUAAAGCGCACGUAGGCGGCGAUUCAAGUCAGAGGUGAAAGCCCGGGGCUCAACCCCGGAACUGCCUUUGAAACUAGAUUGCUAGAAUCUUGGAGAGGCGAGUGGAAUUCCGAGUGUAGAGGUGAAAUUCGUAGAUAUUCGGAAGAACACCAGUGGCGAAGGCGGCAUCCUGGCCAUGUACUGACGCUCAGGGGCGAAAGCGUGGGGAGCAAACCGG